UACAGAGGUCUCAAGCGUUGUUCGGAAUUACUGGGCGUAAAGGGUGCGCAGGCCGCGCGGGCAGUCAAAUGUGUAAUUCAGGGGCUCAACCCCUGCACUGCGCUUGAUACUUCCGCGCUCGAACCUUGGAGAGGAGUCUGGAAUUCUCGGUGUAGCAGUGAAAUGCGUGGAUAUCGAGAAGAGCACUUAGGGCGAAAGCAAGACUCUGGACAAGUGUUGACGCUCAUGCACGAAGGCUAGGGUAGCGAACGGG
rnacentral:rRNA from 1 species